rnacentral:rRNA from 1 species
GUUUGAUCAUGGCUCAGAUUGAACGCUGGCGGCAGGCCUAACACAUGCAAGUCGAACGGUAACAUUUCUAGCUUGCUAGAAGAUGACGAGUGGCGGACGGGUGAGUAAUACUUAGGAAUAUGCCUUUGUGUGGGGGAUAACCAUUGGAAACGAUGGCUAAUACCGCAUAACGUCUUCGGACCAAAGGGGGCCUUGGCUCCCGCGCAAAGAGUAGCCUAAGCGAGAUUAGCUUGUUGGUGAGGUAAAGGCUCACCAAGGCGACGAUCUCUAGCUGUUCUGAGAGGAAGAUCAGCCACACUGGAACUGAGACACGGUCCAGACUCCUACGGGAGGCAGCAGUGGGGAAUAUUGCACAAUGGGGGAAACCCUGAUGCAGCCAUGCCGCGUGUGUGAAGAAGGCCUUCGGGUUGUAAAGCACUUUCAGUUGUGAGGAAAAGUUAGUAGUUAAUACCUGCUAGCCGUGACGUUAGCAACAGAAGAAGCACCGGCUAACUCCGUGCCAGCAGCCGCGGUAAUACGGAGGGUGCGAGCGUUAAUCGGAAUUACUGGGCGUAAAGCGCACGCAGGCGGUUUGUUAAGCUAGAUGUGAAAGCCCCGGGCUCAACCUGGGACGGUCAUUUAGAACUGGCAGACUAGAGUCUUGGAGAGGGGAGUGGAAUUCCAGGUGUAGCGGUGAAAUGCGUAGAUAUCUGGAGGAACAUCAGUGGCGAAGGCGACUCCCUGGCCAAAGACUGACGCUCAUGUGCGAAAGUGUGGGUAGCGAACAGGAUUAGAUACCCUGGUAGUCCACACCGUAAACGCUGUCUACUAGCUGUUUGUGGCUUUAAGCCGUGAGUAGCGAAGCUAACGCGAUAAGUAGACCGCCUGGGGAGUACGGCCGCAAGGUUAAAAC